CCUACGGGGGGCAGCAGUGAGGAAUAUUGCUCAAUGGACGCAAGUCUGAACCAGCCAUGCCGCGUGCAGGAAGACGGCCCUAUGAGUGGUAAACUGCUUUUGUACGAGGGUAAACGCAGAUACGCGUAUCUGUCUGAAUGUACCGUACGAAUAAGGAUCGGCUAACUUCGUGCCAGCAGCCGCGCUAAUACGGAGGAUGCAAGCGUUAGCCGGAUUUAUUGGGUUUAAAGGGGGCGUAGGCGGUCGGAUAAGUUAGAGGUGAAAUCCCGAGGCUCAACUUGGGAAUUGCAUCUGAUACUGUUCGGCUAGAGAGUAGUUGCGGUAGGCGGAAUGUAAGGUGUAGCGGUGAAAUGCGUAGAGA
rnacentral:rRNA from 1 species